GGUAUUUUAGGAUAAGAAAAGUCUUUAGUAUUCAUUAUUCUAAGGUUGAAAUACUU
rnacentral:tRNA from 2 species